UACGAAGGGGGCUAGCGUUGUUCGGAAUCACUGGGCGUAAAGGGCGCGUAGGCGGCUUUGUAAGUCGGGGGUGAAAGCCUGUGGCUCAACCACAGAAUUGCCUUCGAUACUGCAUGGCUUGAGACCGGAAGAGGUUAGUGGAACUGCGAGUGUAGAGGUGAAAUUCGUAGAUAUUCGGAAGAACACCAGUGGCGAAGGCGGCUCACUGGACCGGUAUUGACGCUGAGGUGCGAAAGCGUGGGGAGCAAACAGG
rnacentral:rRNA from 1 species